UACGGGGGGGGCAAGCGUUGUGCGGAAUUACUGGGCGUAAAGGGCUCGUAGGUGGCCAACUAAGUCAGACGUGAAAUCCCUCGGCUUAACCGGGGAACUGCGUCUGAUACUGGAUGGCUUGAGAUUGGGAGAGGGAUGCGGAAUUCCAGGUGUAGCGGUGAAAUGCGUAGAUAUCUGGAGGAACACCGGUGGCGAAGGCGGCAUCCUGGACCAACACUGAAAAUGAUGAGCGAAAGCCAGGGGAGCAAACGGG
rnacentral:rRNA from 1 species